AAGAAUGUUAGUAGUGAGUAAGUAGGAGAUGUAACUGGAAAUAUAAUACAAUAUGGAUUGUAUUACAUCAUGUAUUAACCAUAAAUCAUGAAAUCAAUACCAGAGAACCAAAUAAUGUCACCACCUCUGUACUAACAACCAACAUUUUAGCAUAAGGAGUAUCACAGGAAUGUUUACUUGCAUAUCAGGAGUAUCACAAUUACAACUAAAGAGGCAUUGUCCUUGCUACUGUCCCUGAGCCCUUCACAGGGAGAGUUUCAAGCCUCGCAACUUCUUCCUCUGACCCUCAGUUACGAACCUCAUCCCUUAGCUAUGAUUAUUUUCAAGAUGAAAUCAACAUGCUAUUUCUCUCACAUGGAACAUGUCCAGAAUUUAGUCUGUCUCACUAAUCUUUCAGCUACAAAGGCAGAAAGAAAAAUGGCAUGAUCAAUAACAAAAAAAAACUGGAACAGUAAUGCUUGUAGCGAAAGUGAAUUGAGGACAACAAAACAAUUAUUUGUAACAACGGCAAGCUUGGCUGAUGCAAAAUGAUCACUCUGAAACUAUAUCUUUAGAACCAAAUUAAAAAGGAACAAAAUAAUCUAAUACUCCCUCCGUUUCAAAAUAACUGUCUCAACUUUGUACAAAAACAUCAUGUAUCUUUAGGACCAAUUUUUAGACCAUGGUACCACAUAAAUCAAGAAUUAGACAUGUCAGAUUGCAACGUAUUUAUGGUCAGUUACCAAUCAUGUCACACCAAAGAUUUGCACAUAUAACCUGAAAUAACUGCAGCUAGCUUGAAGUCUGAAAUCUACCGGGUGACAGACAAAAGCAAUACCACCAAACCUUAUUCUUAUUGGACGAGCACAAGACUUACGAGAAGAUAACACACACAAAAUCCUAUUUGGUUUCUGGAUGCAUGCACUUUCUGGAUUGUGCACAUCAAAGCAUGGAAGAACAUUUCUAGGAGAGCCAUUGUAGCACAACGAAGUAAACCAAAAAUCAAAAAAGAGAAGUGAGUUUGUAUCUUGUAAUUUAGCAAUGUAUCAGCCCAUAUCACCAUUUAUUUUUCAGAGACCAAAGAAAAUGACAGAAGUUUCCCUAUUCUUUCAUGUACCUUUCGACCAGAAUACUCUCUAUUUACGAGCGCCACACAAACUAUUUCCUCUUGGCGGCAGGUUGGACACAGCAAUCCUCACCGCGAGCUGCAGAAGAACCACACACGCACAUACAUCAGGCCAGGAGACACGAACACGGGUGCCAUGAGGGGGGAACGGAACGGACCGGAAAUGAGCAGGCAGGAAAAUGAACGGAGGUUUGUGGACUACCUCUUCACGCCACGCCAUAUCCUCAUCCCUAGCGCUUGGCCUACAUUAUGCCGUCUACAUAUCUAUCUCCUUUGACUACCUCUUCCCGCAACGCCGUGUGCAUACCUUGUCCUACACCGGUUGGUAGUCUCACCCUUGCAUUGUGCAGCUAUAGCUGUCCAGCUAAUAAAUGGAAGGAACCAAUUUCAUCAGCUUGAGAAGGCCUGCUGCAGGUGACAAUAAUUCAUACUUAUUAACACCAUGGUGUGAACUUUUAUCACAAAGCAAAUAGGUGGAAGCAUAAGGAAGCAAUUCAACAACUUUUGCAGAGGCACUCAUGGGAUAAAAUCCAAAACAUCAAAAUUAGUCUGUUAUGUUUUUGGGAGAUAUAUAGGACUCAAGAAACUGAGAAACAUCAAAAGUAGUCUGCUAUUCAAAUACAGAACUCUAGAUAUUACACAUUCACUUAAGGCGUCACUGAUUGAGAACAGUUUUUGGAUCUCUCACCAGCUAGUAUGCAGGGUUCGUACGCCAAGUGAUACUGAUGAUUACAACCAAUCAACCUAAUAGCUAACACAUGAAUAAUUAUAUUAAACCAUACUGGUUAAUAUCACCAAUUCAGGAUAGUACACGACAAGACAGAAGUAUUCUAAAUACCAGACACAAACAAGUGCAGCCUCUCUAAAUUUUAUCAGAAGGCUGGUACAAAUUACAAACAAGGAAAAGCUGGUUGACAUAUAUGGCUAUCAUGCAUUUUCUGAAACAUGCUUUCAUGGUUGACCACAAUAAGUUUCAAAUGCUUUCUUCUUUCUAUUCGGGGUCAAUUGGAAGCAUUCAACAAUCAAACAAAUGCGAAAAAGGUACAUAAGCUUCAUUCCAAAUGUAAUACAUGUAUAUUGGAGCUAUAAAGAAGGCUAUAUCGUCAUUUUACAUGACUCAGGCCUCAAAACAACUUUACUUGCCAGUGUGCCAAGCAUCUAUCAGUAAUAUUUCCAAACUGCGACUGUGGUUGCCGUGGCUAUGCCCUAGCUCUCCCUCUACCCUAGCUCUCUCUCUCUGUCACCUCGCCUUAGACCAAACCGAAGCAAGGAAGAAGAAGACACAAAGAAAAGGGGGACACGGUGGAGUUCCGGCGCACGAACGCCUUUGUUUUUCCCUCGAGCACGAACUCGAGCUCACUCCACACCAUUACAACGAUCGCCGCGGCGACUCUUAUACCAGGACAACGCCGGGCCACGACCUGCACGUACCUGCCCACUACGCCACCCGGUCCGGCCCGCUCGACGCGCUCCCCGCGCCAAGCCCUCAACAGACCGGCGUGCACACCGCGUCCCCCGAAUCGCCAACAGCUAUGCCGCGCACACGCCCGUGCGGUGUUCACCUGCGUGGACACACCCACGCACCACACGCACACCUACACGCACGCCAACCCCGCGGACCCGGUGCACCCGACGCGUCCGGCUCGCGCCCAUACACGCGCCAGUCGAGCCCAGUGCACCGCCGCGGCUUAUUCACCAAACACUCGCGCCCUAAGCCGCGGCUCAGAGCAGCCCGGCGUCCUCGACGUCGUCCACGAGCAGGGCUCGCUCCGCCGCCGGUGCCUUCUUGAGCUGCGGGCACUCGCGCUUGAAAUGCCCCCGUUCGCCGCACUUGUAGCAGCGACCGCGCCGAUUCCCGCCGAAGCCCAACGCCUCGCUGCGCACGUCGUCGUCGUCCCGUGCACCACCUCGUCGCUGCUCCCGCGCCCGCCAUUGCGCCGCCGUGUACAGCAGCUCGCCGUCAGGUCGCUCGCCGCCCGCCUGAUCGCGUCGUCGCAGCCGCUCGUCAAAUGCCUUCAGCCGCCCCAACGCGUCCUCGAACAGCAUCGUGCUGACGUCGCAGAACUGCUCGAUCCCUGCCACCGCCGCGUACAGGCGGUUCGGCACCGAGUCGAGCAGCUUCUUGACAAGCGCCGCGUCCUCCAGGGUCGAGCCCAGCGCCGCGUAGCGCGCCGCCAUGCCACCAAGCCUCCCGGCGAACGCGUCCAGGGACUCUGACUCCGCCAUGCGCAGGAGCUCAAAUCCCCCACGGAGCGUGAUGAGCCGCGCCGCGCGCACGCGGUCCGCGCCCACAAACCUGGCCUUCAAACUCGCCCAUACCUCGGCCGCCGUCUUCUUCGACGCCACCUGCAGCAGCAGGUCCUCGGCGAGUGCACCGAGCAGGUAGGCGCGCGCGGGCUUGUCCUUCUUCGCGAUGACGGCCGCCGCCGCGUCCUCCGGCCCCACCACCGCCUCCCACAGCCCGGCCGCAUCAAGGUUUGCCUCCACCUUGAUCGACCACGCCGUGUAGUUGUCGCCGGUGAGCAGUGGCACCGACUGCGGCAGCGACCCGCCUGUUCCGCCGGCGUACGGGACGAUCGACAUCGCCGGCGCGCCCUGAACAGAACGCCUUUGUUUUUCCCUCGAGCUCGAACUCGAGCUCACUCCACACCAUUACAACGAUCGCCGCGGCGACUCUUAUACCUGGACAACGCCGGGCCACGACCCGCACGUACCUGCCCACGACCCGCACGUACCUGCCCACUACGCCACCCGGUCCAGCCCGCUCGACGCGCGCGCUCCCUGCGCCAAGCCCUCAACAGACCGGCGUGCACACCGCGUCCCCCGGAUCGCCAACGGCUAUGCCGCGCACACGCCCGUGCGGUGUUCACCUGCGUGGACACACCCACGCACCACACGCACACCUACACGCACGCCAACCCCCCGGACCCGGUGCACCCGACGCGUCCGGCUCGCGCCCAUACACGCGCCAGUCGAGCACAGUGCACCGCCGCGGCUUAUUCACCCAACAGCGACAGUAAACACAUCGCAAUGUGAAGCAUGGCAGUGUCAAAAUAACCAAGAUAUUAUAACAUGCUCUCAAACCCGAAAAAUGCAAUAAUAAGACUACAUAAGAGACCUAAUUGCUUAGAAUAACACUUUAGUAUCACCAUCUAAAAUAGUACGUCAUCAUAAAUGAUCUAUCCUCUCAUCAGUAUGUACUAUACCAUCUGCCAUGGCUGGAAAAGACCAUACGCAUCAUAAUCAAUCACCUGGAGGUAAGCUGCAUGCAAAUAGUCCAGACAUCUCUCUUGGUGUUGCUCGUGAUCAACACAAGAUGUACCGGGAGUAGUCGCUACUGCCACAUCAAAAUUAAGAAUCAAUUAACUAUAAAACACCUCUAAUCACUCCAACAAUGCUUAGCUGAUGGAGUUAGAACCACCCAAGGAGAAGAAUCUAGCAGCAGGGAUCUCUCACCUUGAGAUGUUACGGCAGUGCAGAGUGGGUAAAGGCUAUGCAACAUUGGCCCUUUGAAGAUCCUGGCCAUGACGUUACUCAUCCACUUUCAUGAGAAAUUUCUUGAGCAUCUUGCUGGAACCCUACCAGUGGGACGACACCGCCGGCAACAAGUUAACCCAUCUCUGCUAGUGAAAAAUAAAAGGAAUAAGAGACCUGCGGUCAGGUGCACAAAUAGCUAAUCAGAAAGUGAGGCAAAGAGAGUAGAAAUGAGUGGUGAAUAUCUGUAGGGCAUCAUUUCAUGCGAAAUAUAUCAAAAUAGAAACAAACUGUCAUUGUUGGAUUUAGCAACCGGUAAAUUUAAUUAUUUUUGGUAAGCUACCGAUGGUAAUUACCAAGGGUGAUACAUCAAGUAUACUUAUAGUAGAAAAUGAGAGUAGGAAAGCCUGUAGGUACCAUACUAAAUAGAUGGUCUACUGUAAUCAACCAGGUAUAAACUGGGCAUCAAUGAUCUGCCACAUGAAAUAAGACAUUGAAAUGGCAGAAACAGAGUAUGUAUAAUUCGUAGAUGUUGAGGGCAGGGAAAAUAUAGUACACAUAAGAACACUUCUCAUGCAAAGAUCUAGACCGAAAAUAAAAAUAAAGGGAAAUCAGGGUAUACACCAGAGUAGGCCAUGAAAAAACACAAAGAAGAUCAGCAUCAAAUAGAACACACCUCGACCAAAGAAACGGCUGACCAACAGCAGGAACCGGAACGUCGCAGAUCCACCAACCUAGGAGAUCCUGGACGUUGCAGAAAAAAGGCAGAAAAUGUAAGCAGCAAAAUAGAUGCUGAUGAAAGGAAAUAAAGCAGGUGAGUUAACAUAAUUUUCAUAGUAAGCAGCAACCUAAGUGACAAAUAAAACCACAGAAGGACCGAGAAGAACGUACGUUAAACACAUGUUGUGGUCUCUUAUUUCUUUUAUUUUUUAGUGCCUACAAUAAAAAAAUGAUGGGACAAUACCUUAUAUUGCCUAGCAUGAGCGCAUAUAUCAAUGCUUGCAAUAAAAAAACGAUGCAACAUCAAAACAAAACAUUAGAAAGAUUGAGGAACCCAACUAUAACGAGAACACCUUGUGCCUGCAUUUCAUCAGAUAUGUAGUAUGUAUUUAAUUCAUACUUACAGUCCUGAAUGCCUCCUUUAUGUGGCCAUUCUCCACCCUCAAAUCCAUGUCCAAACCACCAAAAUCAGCAUCAUACACGUUCUUAUCCUAUAUGUUGUCUAUUCAGCAAGGAAAGAUCAUCCUAUUUUGAAACAAAAUGCAAUAAUUUGGAGCUAAAUCUUGGAUUCGCCAUUCUUUUCAGAGAAUGAAAGUACUGCAAACAAAUACAUUUAAUCCUAUAGAGAUCUUAAGAACACAUUAAUUUUUUCCAAGCAUGUAUGGUUUGAGCAGUGCGAUCGAGUAUAUGUUGCUUAUUCACCUUGGCUCCAUUGCUUGCUGCUCCAAGAAAAUGCAGCCCAUAUCCUUGCUGCUCCAAACCUGAGCAACCACCAAACCAGCCUCCUCCAGCCCCCAGCGCAUGGCACGCCCAAGAGCCCCAGCCUCCUCGCAGCUCCCGAUCCAGGAGCGGAUCGAGCCGCCGCCAACCGCCAGAUCUCGCCCGACCUCGCAGACGUAGGCCGACGCCGGCGUGAGACCUUCUCCCAUCAGCCCACACACCUCCAUCUCCUCUUUCCUCUCUCUUUCUCCCUCCUCUCCUUCCUUCUCUCUCUUCCUCUCAUCCUCUCUCUCCUACAGAGACGAGUGACGGCGACCAUGCGUGGGGGGCAGAGGAGGAGAGAAGUGGAGGGGAGGAGGCGGCGGCGCAGUGGCACAGAUCUUGGGGAGCUCGGGGGCGUGCGGCGGGCGGAGCUUGCCGGAACCGGCCGGCGUGGGUAGGGCGAUGGGGAAAGAGAGGGGUUAGCGAGAGAGAGAGAGAGAGGAGGGCGACGAGGAGGGGGAGGCGAGUGGGACGGGAGGCGGCGGCGAGGGUUUCUCCACGGGAUUGGCAAUUUAUACCCUGCACGUAAAAAG
rnacentral:lncRNA from 1 species